GACAGAGGUGGCAAGCGUUGCUCGGAUUCACUGGGCUUAAAGGGCGCGUAGGCGGCUUUGUAAGUCCGAGGUGGAAUUCCACAGCUUAACUGUGGAACUGCCUUGGAAACUGCAAGGCUUGAGUCAGGUAGAGGGAGGCGGAAUUCCCGGUGUGGCGGUGAAAUGCGUAGAUAUCGGGAGGAAGGCCGGUGGCGAAGGCGGCCUCCUGGGCCUGCACUGACGCUGAGGCACGAAAGCGUGGGGAGCAAACAGG
rnacentral:rRNA from 1 species